rnacentral:rRNA from 1 species
UACGUAGGGGGCAAGCGUUGUCCGGAAUCAUUGGGCGUAAAGAGCGUGUAGGCGGCCCGAUAAGUCCGCUGUGAAAGUCCAGGGCUCAACCCUGGGAUGCCGGUGGAUACUGUCGGGCUCGAGUCCGGAAGAGGAGUGUGGAAUUCCUGGUGUAGCGGUGAAAUGCGCAGAUAUCAGGAGGAACACCAAUGGCGAAGGCGACUCUUUGGUCUGUAACUGACGCUGAGGCGCGAAAGCGUGGGGAGCAAACAGG